CCAUUACAUCCGAGAGACAUUUUCUUCUUACAGCUCUCGUAGUGAGCGUGUUAGCUGAAAUUACUCUCCCUAAGUUUCAAAGCCUCGUUUUUGAAAUGCACUCUAAGCUGUUUGCGUCUAUAUUUCUCUGUAAAUAUGGUUUUACGUGACUGCUUGUGUGACUCCGUAAAAUUUGCGCACUUAGAAAAGACUCAAGACUGCUCACGUGGCAUCCGCGUGGGCAGAAGGCCUGUUCUGGUACAAAGGAGCUGCACCUGGAUGAUCCCAGCUCUAACAGUUGUUCUCAAGAAAUGGAUGGUGGUACCCUGACCUAAUAGUCUAAAAUAAAUAAAAGGGCUUUAACAAUAAAACCUUUCUGCCUCAUUAUUCUUCAUUUUACUAUAUAUCUGAUGCACUUUAUGACGUGGGAUGGCAUUUUCCCUGCCAGCUACCCAGAUCAAGUUAAGUGCAAGAUUAAAUAAGUCUUGUCAUAACUGGGGUCUCUUAGCAAUUUCCCUAAGUUUCCCUUUUAAAGCAAGACAUAUUUCUGAAGACAGUACAAAUGUUAAAUCCAAGUUUGCAUGGGAGUUUUGGGUAAUGUCUGAUAAAUGUAUUUAAAACGUUUUAAUUUAAUGCAUUUAAGGUUUAAAUGGGUAAAAUGAAGGGGUCCAUGAUGGCAAUGCUGGACCUCAUUGACCUAUGUGAA